GUCCAGCUGACGAGUCCCAAAUAGGACGAAAUGCGCGUCCUGGAU
rfam:Schistosoma mansoni strain Puerto Rico chromosome 2, complete genome